rnacentral:rRNA from 1 species
CUACGGGCUGCAGCAGUGGGGAAUAUUGCACAAUGGGCGCAAGCCUGAUGCAGCCAUGCCGCGUGUAUGAAGAAGGCCUUCGGGUUGUAAAGUACUUUCAGCGGGGAGGAAGGGAGUAAAGUUAAUACCUUUGCUCAUUGACGUUACCCGCAGAAGAAGCACCGGCGAACUCCGUGCCAGCAGCCGCGGUAAUACGGAGGGUGCAAGCGUUAAUCGGAAUUACUGGGCGUAAAGCGCACGCAGGCGGUUUGUUAAGUCAAUGUGAAAUCCCCGGGCUCAACCUGGGAACUGCAUCUGAUACUGGCAAUCUUGAGUCUCGUAGAGGGGGGUAGAAUUCCAGGUGUAGCGGUGAAAUGCGUAGAGAUCUGGAGGAAUACCGGUGGCGAAGGCGGCCCCCUGGACGAAGACUGACGCUCAGGUGCGAAAGCGUGGUGAGCAAACAGGAUUAGAUACCCUCGUAGUC